rnacentral:rRNA from 1 species
GACAGAGGUGCCAAGCGUUAGGCGGAAUCACUGGGCUUAAAGCGUGUGUAGGCGGAUCGUUAAGUACCUUGUGAAAUCCCACGGCUCAACCGUGGAACUGCUCGGUAUACUGGCGGUCUUGAGCCACCUAGGGGCAACUGGAACAAGCGGUGGAGCGGUGAAAUGCGUAGAUAUCUGGAGGAACACCGGUGGCGAAGGCGGCGUCCUGGACCAACACUGACACUGAGGAGCGAAAGCCAGGGGAGCAAACGGG